GAGGGGAGUAAAAGAUAGAGUGGGAGGUUUUGAAAGUCAGUUGAGGUUUGGGAGUUGGGAGUUGAGGGUUGUCAGUUGGGAGUUGAGGCUUGGGUGUUGGAGAAGGAAGAGGGAGGCUUAGGUGUGGGUUGGUAGAGUUGUAUUGUGAGAGAGUGAGAGGAAUUGUUAGGUUGAGUCAGAUAGAUAGUUGGAAUAAUCAGUUUGGAGUUGUUAGGAACUAAGAUUAGGAAACUGACAAGAGAAAAAUAAACUGUAACCAUACGCUUGUUCCUGCAUUUAAAAAUAAAGUUGAUUAUUUGUCUAUGUUAACAA